rnacentral:rRNA from 1 species
AACGAACGCUGGCGGCAUGCCUAACACAUGCAAGUCGAACGAGACCUUCGGGUCUAGUGGCGCACGGGUGCGUAACGCGUGGGAACCUGCCCUUAGGUUCGGAAUAACUCCCCGAAAGGGGUGCUAAUACCGGAUAAUGUCUUCGGACCAAAGAUUUAUCGCCUUUGGAUGGGCCCGCAUUGGAUUAGCUAGUUGGUAGGGUAAAAGCCUACUAAGGCGACGAUCCAUAGCUGGUCUGAGAGGAUGAUCAGCCACACUGGGACUGAGACACGGCCCAGACUCCUACGGGAGGCAGCAGUGGGGAAUAUUGGACAAUGGGCGAAAGCCUGAUCCAGCAAUGCCGCGUGAGUGAUGAAGGCCUUAGGGUUGUAAAGCUCUUUUACCCGGGAUGAUAAUGACAGUACCGGGAGAAUAAGCGCCGGCUAACUCCGUG